AGGUGCGUUUGGCAGCCGAGGUGGAGGCCGAGGAGGAGGAGGCGGAGGUGGUGGUGGAAGAGGAGGUGGACGAGGAGGAGGCAGAGGAAGAGGAGAUUCAUAGUGUCUAUCGUUGUUGUGUUGUACUGUAUGAAUCCUUAGUGUAUGUUUGAGCUGAUCAGUAAAUUCUGUAUGGAUCAUUGAUGUGUUACUUAGAUCUGAUCGAUUGACUGAAUGAAGAAGUAACUGAGUGUGGAUAUGACAGAUGCUUCUAUAAAACUUCAAACUUCACAUCAUUAAAUCUUAAUCAUGAUUGAUAUUGUACUUAUAUUCCUUUAAUUUGAGAGAUUUGUUUACUCCCUCAGCAAUUUGUAGUUCACUUAAUCACUUAAGGUUGAGAAUACAAGGUGUUGACAUCAACAAGGAUUUGCACUUACAGAGUCAUACAUCAGGUGCCAUAAGAGAAAUGAUCAAAGAAUUAUUCUAUUUCUAUGUUGUUUGAUGAAGUUGCAUUGUAUAUCAUAUAUAGAUUGAAAAGUUCAAAUGAAGUUUUACAUCAAUGCAUUUUAGGUAUUGUAAACUAUAUGAUAGAUCUCUUCUGACCUUUGGUUAGUAAGUUUACACCUACAUUCAUAUCUUGGAUUCUGAUAGAUGUGGGAUUGUUGAAAUGUGUAGUUAUAUUUUUUACUACAAAAAAGACCAUCUGAUGUUGAAUAUAAAGAGAUGCUGGCAUAGUCAAUGAGAUAGAACCCAACAAUAGAAAAACUAAUAGACAUCUAUUCUUAUUAUACGACUGUAAAAAAUUUUUGCAUUCGUAUAAUGGUAUGAUGUCGUCGUCUGCAUUGUCCAAAGACACAUUUGGUGUCCAGACAAUAACUUUAGUUUAAGUAAAUGGAUCUCUAUGAAAUUUUAAUAAAAAGGUUCAAUACCGCAAAAGGAAGGUUGGGAUUGAUUUUGGGGAUGAUGGUCCAAACCGUUUUAGAAUUAGGGGCCCAAAAGGAGCCAAAACAAGUAUUUUUCUACUUUCAGGAUAUCAACUUGUGUAAUAGUAUUUCAAUUGCUCUGAAAUUGUACCACAAUAUUUAAUACCACAGGUUAAAGGUUUGGAUUGAUUUUGGGAGUUAUGGUUCCAAAGGUUUAGGAAUAACAGGCCGAAAAGGAGACCCAAAAUAAGCAUUUUUGUAGUUUUCAAACAAAAACUUGUGUUUAAGUGUAUGAAUCUCUUUGAAAUUAUACCACAAGUUUCCAUACCAUGAAGGGAUGGUUAGUAUUGACUUUUGGGGGUAAUGGCUCAAAAUGUUUUGGAAUUAGGGGCAAAAAAGGGGAAAAAUUAGGUUUUUGGUUAAUGGACAAUUAAGACAAUUUAAAAGCAGUGUAAGGGAGGAAACUCAAAUAUAUUUAUCAUACAAUGUUGGGUAUGUUUGGAUUUACCUCCCUUACACUACUUUUGAAUUAUGUAUAAAGAAAUGUCAGGUUUUGGACUAAUUGCAAAAAAAAGGGGGGCGUGGUAGUAGUUUUCAAUUUUUUUUCCAAAUUUCUCAAAUUCAAAUUUUUGAAAAGUUUGAAGAAGAAUCUUCAAUUGCACAAUUGACAUCUGUUUUGUGUCAGAAACUCAUAAAGACAUUAUGUCAAAAAAUUUGAUCCCAGUCCAAAUGCAGAGCUGUAUCAAGCUUGAAUGUUGUGUCCAUACUUGCCCCAACUGUUCAGGGUUUGACCUCUGCUGUCAUAUAAAGCUGUGCUCUGCGGAGCACCUGGUUGUUAACCAUUUGUUUUACAAAUUUUAAUGUUGAUGCUUUUGGUCCUGGUUUUACUGUAUUGGGUAAUUUGGGAUCUGUCUCAUUGACGUAAAUCCCACAUCUUCUUGUAUCGGUCUUUGUCUCAUUUGACCUUGUAACUAUUUUAAUCACUUUGCAUCUGACAAACAUUUGUUCUGUUGAAUUCAUGAUACAAAUUUCUACCAAACAAAGACUGAAAAAUUCAGAGUUUGGAUAUGAUUCGAUAUUUUUCUAGGGUAUUCUAUAGAGUUAUGGACAUCCUCCUACAGUGAAAUUAAGCUCAAAAGGGGUUCCCUUUGGAUGGGCAGGAUAUAUAAAUACACAUGCCAUGUAUAAUCAAAAUUGGGACAUUAGAUCAAAUGACAAGCAUUGGAAGACAGGCGCGUAGUUACGUUUACGUCAAAACGCCCGUGCGUACACUUGAUUUUUGAUAAAAAAAAAUAGUUUAAUCUAUAUAGAAUAAAAAGAUCUGUUUAAAAGCAC
rnacentral:lncRNA from 1 species